UUACCAAGUUUUCAUCCUUUUUUAUUGGUACUUGAAAGUUUACCUCACACCAUUCUAGUCCAAUCUCUGUACCACCAACUAGAUCAUUUGGGUCCAAGCUCUGAUAAUGCUUUUGACAUUU